UACGUAGGGGGCAAGCGUUGUCCGGAAUCAUUGGGCGUAAAGCGCGUGUAGGCGGCCACGUUAGUCCGUUCUGAAAGCCCGGGGCUCAACCCCGGGAGGCGGAUGGAUACUGCGUGGCUCGAGUCCGGAAGAGGCGAGUGGAAUUCCUGGUGUAGCGGUGAAAUGCGCAGAUAUCAGGAGGAACACCAAUGGCGAAGGCAGCUCGCUGGGACGGUACUGACGCUGAGACGCGAAAGCGUGGGGAGCAAACAGG
rnacentral:rRNA from 1 species